GUCUACGGCCUUACCACCCUGAACAUGCCUGAUCUCGUCUGAUCUCAGAAGCUAGGCAGGGUCAGCCUGGUUAGUACUUGGAUGGGAGGACU
rnacentral:rRNA from 1 species